AUAGAGUCUUGCUCUGUGACCCAGGCUUGUGUGCAGCGGUACGAUAUUGGCUCACUGCGACCUCCACCUCCCAGGUUCAAGCAAUUCUCCUGCCUCAGCCUCCCAAGUAGCUGGGAUUACAGGGAAACCUGUGGAAAUAUUCGUUAGGGAAAAGAAAAUGAGAAAGAAUAAGUGAAGACUUUAGGUUUAGGAUGCUUUAGGAUGGGGCAGAUGUCCUCAAAGAACAAUGGGGACAGAGUAGGGAGAAAAAAAAAAAAAAAGGUUUGCCAUCACUCAUGUGAUAUUCUGUUCUGUCAGGGACUUCUGUCAAACCAUGAUUGUUGGAACAGCUUUGCCUCUCUGGAAAGCAGCUUGCUAGAGAGACUUGCGGUAGAGAGGGAGGGUCAUGGCCAGAUGCCGAAAGCAACAUUUACAUAUUUAGUGAAGGCCCAGGCUUUACUCCUUAGUAGCUAUGUGAUUUUGGAUAAGUUACCUAAUUUCUGUGAACCUCUAUGUCUUCCUCUGAGAAACAAUGAUAAGGACACUUACCUCAAAAGGCUGACUUGAAGCACAAGCAAACAGUGGACAUGAGAAUACUUGGUAAACUAUGAAGUGACCCACAAAGAAGGGUAUUGUCAUUUUACCCUUUCCUCUAGUCCUCAGUGGAACUUUCCUUAUCUUUUCAAAGGUGAAGAACUAAUGUUGACGGAAGUUAAGCAACCUUUCCCAAAGUCUCAUAGUGGUAAUGUCUUGG
rnacentral:lncRNA from 1 species